UGAUUUAGGUGAUUUCAUUCCCAAAAGGGGCGAAAAAUCAAUAUAUAAGGGGUUUCACACGUGCUUUAUAUAAUGAAAAUCACAAUGGAGCAAUAAAGGCAGAUACUAAUUAAUAGUAAUAGGCUCUUCCUGGUUGAAAAGACCAAGUCGGCCAAGAUGACGUUGGGCCCAGCAGGGCCAAAGUGCGAUCUGACGACACGUGGUCUGACCAGGAGCAGAGCAUCGGACCUGCGGCGCUGGGCGGGGAAUCAGGCCUGCCUGCCGCGGGGCGGGGCCGCGUGUGUGUGCUGGGCCUCGAGCGCUGGCUGCGGGAGACCCAAGUCCUGGAGUCCGGGGACCGAGGAGACAUGGCCUGCCCCCGCAGUGACGCUGAGAUCCAGAAGAACGUGCAGGUAUUAUGGCUGUGGCCUGGUCAUCCCUGAAUGUCUGGAGAACUGCUGGAUUUUGGAUCUGGGUAGUGGAAGUGGUCGAGAUUGUUAUGCACUUAGUCAGCUGGUUGGUGAGAAGGGACAUGUCACUGGAGUAGACAUGACAGAAGGUCAGGUAGAAGUGGCUAACAAGUACAUUGACUAUCACAUGGAAAAAUAUGGCUUCCGGACACCCAAUGUGACUUUUAUUCAUGGCUACAUAGAGAAGUUGGGAGAGGCCGGAAUCAAGAAUGAGAGUUACGAUAUUGUUAUAUCCAAUUGUGUCAUUAACCUUGUACCUGAUAAACAGCAAGUGCUACAGGAGGUAUAUCGAGUGCUAAAGCACGGCGGGGAGCUAUAUUUCAGUGACGUCUAUGCUAGCCUUGAAUUGCCAGAAGAAAUCAGGACACACAAAGUUUUAUGGGGUGAAUGCCUGGGUGGUGCUUUGUACUGGAAGGACCUUGCAAUCCUUGCCCGAAAAAUUGGGUUCUCUCCUCCACGUUUGGUUGCUGCCAAUUUCAUUACAAUUCAAAACAAGGAACUAGAAAGUGUGAUUGGUGACUGUCGUUUUGUUUCUGCAACAUUUCGCCUCUUCAAACUCUCUAAGACAGGACCAACCAAAAGAUGCAAAGUUAUUUACAAUGGAGGAAUCACUGGACAUGAAAAAGAGCUAAUAUUUGAUGUAAAUUUCACAUUUAAGAAAGAUGAAACUGUUGAAGUGGAUGAAGAAACAGCAGCUAUCUUGAAGAAUUCACGAUUUACCCAAGAUUUUCUGAUCAGACCUAUUGAAGAGAAGUUGCCAAUAUGUGGUGGCUAUACUGCUCUAGAAACAAAGUGGUGGCUUGGUCAUACUCUUGACUUCCAACCUUUGUGCCUGGUUUUCCUCUGACCCCGUUGGCACUGCUGUUAGAGGUUAUCUCAUUUGAAGAUGAAGGGAAGAAAAAUAAAGAUUGCCAUCUUAUCUUUUGAAAAUUCCACUUACUCUGCCCUGAAAUCUUGCUGGUGGUGGUCAGCAGUCUCAACGUCAGAACAUCAGUAAUUGUUAAUGAUGGCCCUAGUAUCCAGGACCUAACUUUUUUCUCUUGCACACAUUUCUGGCAAUUAGAGUGAGUGAAGAGAAGAAGUCUCUGCAUUUCAGUAACUCAGUUCCAAAAAGAUCAAAGGCACUGAGAAUUGCACAGAACAAAACAAAGCAAAAUCAACUUACCUGAUCCAAGAGGGACUACCUUUCUGAAGCUUUAAGUAACAUUUACCCGAAAGCACUGAUGACUUGAUUAUAAGUGAGGGACUGAUGCUACUCCCAGGAGGCCACAGAAUUGUAAAAUUCGAUCCCCUUUCUAGGAUGAAAUCACAGAUCCAUUCAAGCUUGCGGAAGAGUCUGACAGUGCGAAGUCUAGAAGUUCCCC